AUCCAUAACUUAGGCAUCUGAUUUUUAUCGUUAAAGAUAAGCAUCUGAUCUUGACUGCACUUUUUUGAGCUUACAACAAGUGCCACAAACACAAACAAAAUUUUAAAUAUUUUUUAUAAAUUAGAAGACUGAUCAAAUGAUAGUUAUUGUGGGCUAGAUCAACUUUCCUAGUACAUUCAAUUGAAACAAAAAACCUAUACUA
rnacentral:lncRNA from 1 species